AGUGAACGCUGGCGGUAGGCCUAACACAUGCAAGUCGAACGGCAGCACAGUAAGAGCUUGCUCUUACGGGUGGCGAGUGGCGGACGGGUGAGGAAUACAUCGGAAUCUACUUUUUCGUGGGGGAUAACGUAGGGAAACUUACGCUAAUACCGCAUACGACCUACGGGUGAAAGCAGGGGAUCUUCGGACCUUGCGCGAUUGAAUGAGCCGAUGUCGGAUUAGCUAGUUGGCGGGGUAAAGGCCCACCAAGGCGACGAUCCGUAGCUGGUCUGAGAGGAUGAUCAGCCACACUGGAACUGAGACACGGUCCAGACUCCUACGGGAGGCAGCAGUGGGGAAUAUUGGACAAUGGGCGCUAGCCUGAUCCAGCCAUACCGCGUGGGUGAAGAAGGCCUUCGGGUUGUAAAGCCCUUUUGUUGGGAAAGAAAAGCAGCAGGUUAAUACCCCGCUGUUCUGACGGUACCCAAAGAAUAAGCACCGGCUAACUUCGUG
rnacentral:rRNA from 1 species